AACAUCGCGCACCUGCGGGAACCUGCGGAAGGAUCAUUAAUGAUUGGUGGCUGUUGCUGACUAGUGUUUCUAGUAUGUGCACGCCACACCUUCAAUCCCACUUACACCUGUGCACCUUCUGUAAUAGAUCUAGGUGGAUACGGAGAUAUGAAAGUUUGCGCUCUCGUACUCUGUUGAAGCAGUCUACUACGUUUUUUUACACACACACAAUAGUCAUUGAAUGUAUUUUUUAUUCUUAUG
rnacentral:misc_RNA from 1 species